rnacentral:rRNA from 1 species
UGGGGAAUUUUGGACAAUGGGGAAACCCUGAUCCAGCCAUCCCGCGUGUGCGAUGAAGGCCUUCGGUUUGUAAAGCACUUUUGGCAGGAAAGAAACGUCAUGGGUUAAUACCCCGUGAAACUGACGGUACCUGCAGAAUAAGCACCGGCUAACUACGUGCCAGCAGCCGCGGUAAUACGUAGGGUGCAAGCGUUAAUCGGAAUUACUGGGCGUAAAGCGUGCGCAGGCGGUUCGGAAAGAAAGAUGUGAAAUCCCAGAGCUCAACUUUGGAACUGCAUUUUUAACUGCCGGGCUAGAGUGUGUCAGAGGGAGGUGGAAUUCCGCGUGUAGCAGUGAAAUGCGUAGAUAUGCGGAGGAACACCGAUGGCGAAGGCAGCCUCCUGGGAUAACACUGACGCUCAUGCACGAAAGCGUGGGGAGCAAACAGG